AUAUCAAUAAGCGGAGGAAAAGAAACUAACAAGGAUUCCCCCAGUAACGGCGAGUGAAGCGGGAAGAGCUCAAAUUUGAAAUCUGCCUUGCCUGGCGAGGCCGAAUUGUAGUUUAUAAAAGUGUUUUCGGGGGCAGGCCAGGCCCAAGUCCUUUGGGAUGAGGCAUCGGAGAGGGUGAGAAUCCCGUCGUGCCUGGCCGGGCCUCUGUGUGAUACACCUUUGACGAGUCGGGUUGUUUGGGAAUGCAGCCCCAAAUGGGUGGUAAAUACCAUCUAAAGCUAAAUACUGGCGAGAGACCGAUAGCGAACAAGUACCGUGAGG
rnacentral:rRNA from 1 species